GCGGGUACGUAUUUUGGGUCGAGCAAGAAGGGACGGCGCCAUCCCUUUCGGGUUUUCUUCGCGUAAAAGUCUUACGAGUUCAUUCUUUUAUCGCAUUAUGUCGAUUCUAGAUUUGUUUGCAAAAUACAACUGUACGUAUUGUCAAGAGGAUAUUACAGGAUUGCGUAUAAAAUGCGUCGAAUGCCCAGAUUUCGACCUAUGUUUGCAGUGCUUCUCAGCUGGAGCUGAAAUUGGCCAACACAAAAAUGAUCACUCCUAUCAGUUUAUGGAUUCUGGUACUAUUAGUAUAUUCAAUGGACGAGGUAAUUGGACUGCAAAAGAACAACUUAGACUUUUGGAUGCCAUUGAACAAUUUGGCUUUGGUAAUUGGGAAGAUAUCAGUAAACAUAUUGAAACUAGAAGUCCGGAAGAAGCGAAAGAAGAAUACACUGCUAGGUAUUUGGAUGGCAACAUCGGAAAGCAUACAUGGCCACCUACAGAAAGCUAUACGCCAAAUCUUACGGAUCAAACUAAGUCAGAUAAUGGACCACUGUCGCCCGAUCUCACAUCUCGGUUACCUCCACUGGAUAUAACACCGGAGGAAGCUGCUCAACUGGGCUAUAUGCCUCAACGAGAUGACUUUGAAAGAGACUAUAACCACGAAGCGGAGUCUCUCGUUUCUUCGUUAUUUUUAAAUCCUGCAGAGGACGAUGAUCUUGACAUAGCGCUUAAGCUAGCACAAGUCGAUAUGUACACUAAUAAUUUAAGAGAAAGAGCUAGAAGAAAACGCGUCGUACGAGAUUAUCAACUUGUGUCUUCUUUCUUUGCAUCUUCUAGAAAAGAUAGAGGAGGAGUAAAGAAACGAAGAACGAAGGAAGAGAGAGAAUUUAGAGACAGAAUGCGCACUUUUGCACAAUUUUAUACAGCACAGGAACACGAGCAGUUCCUAACAAAUCUUGAAAGAGAAAGAGAGCUUCGGUUACGACUCUCUGAACUUUAUCGUUAUCGGGAGCAUGGCAUAGCAAGGCACGAAGAAUGUGCUCAUUUUGAACAAAUAAUAGCACAGGCUCAGGGACAAAACGAUGCUGCAGAACACUGGACAGAAAAAAAAUCUGAAUUUGUUAACAGAUUGUAUCAGUUUACAUUUCACUUAGGGCAGCAGUGGGCCGUCCACACCAAUACAUCGCCACACCUCAAAAAAAAGAGAAGAAGAAAAAAAUUACUCUUCCACCGACCGAAAGUCCACUAUAAAAGUAGACACAGCCAGCAGCAGCUCCACAAUGAAUCAAAUCAAUCCCAAUCGGAUGAUGAUUCCAACCAAUCAGUGGGCGGAGCAGGAUAGCAGCCAACAUUCUACGAGUUCAAAUUCUACAAUAGAAAAAAAUUGCAACUUAGGGUCAUCUUCUUCAAAAAUACUCUCGCAUUUGGGAGAAACAGGAGAACGAGAUAUAGAAUUGGAGGCAUCGGCGCAUCUUUUAACGAAACAAGAAAAAUUAUUAUGUCUUCAAUUAGACUUGAAGCCGAUGCAAUAUUUAACGCAAAAAACAUUGUUGUUACAAGAAUAUCUCAGCGGUAAUAAAAAAUCAGGGAUUAUACCUCAAUCGGAACCAGAGAGUAAGAUACUUCAUUAUUUGGUAGCUAAUGGUUGGAUCGCAGCCAAUUGAUCGAUUAUCGAGACAAAAGUUAUGCUCAUUUUCCAAUUCUAAGUCAUCCUUUAUUUUACUAAGUCGUAGAUAUAUAAUGACAACAUGAGUAUAACUUAAUUAAUAAAUAAGAAUUAGAUAGAAAAAGAGAGCAUAUAACAACAAAUUUCUUUUUCUUCGACUACGUUUUUCUGAAACAAUGUUAUGUCUCAGUUAUGUUAUAAAGUUUAUUGAAAAUGAUAUUGCUGUUAUCAAGAACGAAGAAUAUUAUACUACUAGAUAAAUUAUAAAUGUAGUAUCAUUUUUAUUUGAUAUCAAUUCAGGUUGGGGUAUGUAUGUACAUAUGUAAAUGCACGCACAUAUCGAUAUAUGUGUAUGUAUAUUUAUCGAAACGAGUCUACCACUUUUAAAUUCAAAAAUGAUCUAAAGAAAAUAUUUUAUAAUACUGCCUUCUUAGUCACUAUAUACUGUUCUAUCAAUUCUUCCAUAUAAAAUCUUGUUGUUUCUUUUUUCAUUUUUCUUUUUUAGAUCAUAUUGUUGCACACGUGUAGAAUAUCAUCGUUUAUUUUAUUUCAAUAUUAUUUGUUACCAUACUUGACAAUAAGGAAAAAAUAAUUUGUGCGUCAUAUCUUUUUUAAAUUAUGUGGAACAACUGCAAGGACACCAAGUAUCUGUGUAAUUGUAAUUUAUGAAAGUAUUGCUGUCGUGCUUGAAGAUCUAAAAUAUAUUCUAUCACACGUUAAAUUCAUUCUUGCUUAACAUUUUCAGCAAAAAAGAGUACGUAAAGCUGCAAUAUGAAACAAAAAAGAAUAAAAAAGAAAAACAAAAAAAUAGAACACUUUUUUCUUAUUGCAUUGAUAUGAGAUUUGCCUAUUGAAAGAUUACAUGUUAUUAAAUAUGAUAUGUAUAUAUAGAUUUAGCUUUAUAAAGUGGAGAUACUUAACCUAGAGAUACUGUGGAGAUGAUACGUAGCCUAGUUCGUCUAAUAUACGAAUAUUUUCUCUGUGUAAAAUAAUGAAAAGAAAAA
rnacentral:misc_RNA from 1 species